rnacentral:rRNA from 1 species
GCCAGCAGCCGCGGUAAUACGAAGGGACCUAGCGUAGUUCGGAAUUACUGGGCUUAAAGAGCACGUAGGUGGUUAAAAAAGUUGAUGGUGAAAUCCCAGAGCUUAACUCUGGAACUGCCAUCAAAACUUUUUAGCUAGAGUGUGAUAGAGGAAAGUAGAAUUUCUAGUGUAGAGGUGAAAUUCGUAGAUAUUAGAAAGAAUACCAAUUGCGAAGGCAGCUUUCUGGAUCAUUACUGACACUGAGGUGCGAAAGCAUGGGUAGCGAAGAGGAUUAGAUACCCUCGUAGUCCAUGCCGUAAACGAUGUGUGCUAGACGUUGGAAAUUUAUUUUUCAGUGUCGCAGCGAAAGCGUUAAGCACACCGCCUGGGGAGUACGACCGCAAGGUUAAAACUCAAAUGAAUUGAC